rnacentral:rRNA from 1 species
GGUGACGAAGCGACGCCGCGUGUGGGAUGAAGGCCUUCGGGUUGUAAACCACUGUCGGGAGUUAAGAAUUGUAGGAAUGCUAAUAGUAUUUUUACUUGACUAAGGCUCCGGAGGAAGCCACGGCUAACUCUGUGCCAGCAGCCGCGGUAAUACAGAGGCGGCAAGCGUUGUUCGGAAUUAUUGGGCGUAAAGAGCAUGUAGGCGGCUAUGUAAGUCGGUUGUGAAAGCCUUCCGCUUAACGGAAGAAUGGCGGUCGAAACUGCAUGGCUUGAGUGCGGGAGGGGAGAGUGGAACUUCUGGUGGAGCGGUGAAAUGCGUAGAUAUCAGAAG